rnacentral:rRNA from 1 species
CUGCGAACGGCUCAUUAUAUAAGUUAUCGUUUAUUUGAUAGCACCUUACUACUUGGGUAACCGUGGUAAUUCUAGAGCUAAUACAUGCUGAAAAUCCCGACUCCGGAAGGGAUGUGUUUAUUAGAUUCAAAGCCAACGCCCCCUGGGCUCACUGGUGAUUCAUGAUAACCGCUCGAAUCGCACGGCCUUGCGCCGGCGAUGGUUCAUUCAAAUUUCUUCCCUAUCAACUUUCGAUGUUUGGGUAGUGGCCAAACAUGGUUGCAACGGGUAACGGAGGGUUAGGGCUCGACCCCGGAGAAGGAGCCUGAGAGACGGCUACUACAUCCAAGGAAGGCAGCAGGCGCGCAAAUUACCCAAUCCCGACACGGGGAGGUAGUGACAAUAAAUACCGAUAUAGGGCUCUUUUGGGUCUUAUAAUUGGAAUGAGUACAAUUUAAAUCCCUUAACGAGGAACAAUUGGAGGGCAAGUCUGGUGCCAGCAGCCGCGGUAAUUCCAGCUCCAAUAGCGUAUAUUAAAGUUGUUGUGGUUAAAAAGACCCGUAGUUGAACCUUGGGCCUGGCUGGCCGGUCCGCCUCACCGCGUGCACUGGUCCGGCCGGGCCUUUCCCUCCGCGGAACCCCAUGCCCUUCGCUGGGCGUGGCGGGGAAACGGGACUUUUACUUUGAAAAAAUUAGAGUGCUCCAGGCAGGCCUAUGCUCGAAUACAUUAGCAUGGAAUAAUGAAAUAGGACGCGCGGUUCUAUUUUGUUGGUUUCUAGGACCGCCGUAAUGAUUGAUAGGGACAGUCGGGGGCGUCAGUAUUCAACCGUCAGAGGUGAAAUUCUUGGACCGGUUGAAGACUAACUACUGCGAAAGCAUUCGCCAAGGAUGUUUUCAUUAAUCAGGGACGAAAGCUAGGGGAUCGAAGACGAUCAGAUACCGUCGUAGUCUUAGCCAUAAACUAUGCCGACUAGGG